rnacentral:rRNA from 1 species
CAAGGCUUGACAUAUACGAGAACGGGCCAGAAAUGGUCAACUCUUUGGACACUCGUAAACGGGUGGUGCAUGGUUGUCGUCAGCUCGUGUCGUGAGAUGUUGGGUUAAGUCCCGCAACGAGCGCAACCCUCGUUCUAUGUUGCCAGCACGUAAUGGUGGGAACUCAUGGGAUACUGCCGGGGUCAACUCGGAGGAAGGUGGGGAUGACGUCAAAUCAUCAUGCCCCUUAUGUCUUGGGCUUCACGCAUGCUACAAUGGCCGGUACAAAGGGCUGCAAUACCGUAAGGUGGAGCGAAUCCCAAAAAGCCGGUCCCAGUUCGGAUUGAGGUCUGCAACUCGACCUCAUGAAGUCGGAGUCGCUAGUAAUCGCAGAUCAGCAACGCUGCGGUGAAUACGUUCCC